GAAAGGAGAGCGUUUGUCUCCAUUUUGGCUUAACCUGCCCUGAUCCCAUGUACUGAUCUGCACAGAGCUGGCUAGGAAAGUUCUUUAUCUCCUUAACUGCCUUUAAGCAAUACAAAUGGGUCUAGCCAAGGUGCUGAUGUGUGGUCUUUAAAACAGUUCUACAGGUCAGUGAUGCUUAGCCGAUAGCUUCCAAUUACCAUGUCGGCUAGGACUGAACCUUGAGAAAGAACACGUGAAGCCACAAAGCAUGAAAACUAAGCAUCAAGGCUGGAGCACUGAUCCUAUACUUCCUCCAACUGUGCUAUGCAGAUUGCUCUUUUUGUGUACCUCUCUCCGCGUGUUGCAGAGGGGCUAUCAGACCUCCUGCCUUCCCCAGCUUCCAGCACUGAGGGACUGUUUACUUCACUGGAUGAAACUUCGCAUCGUGUCACAGGAUCACCAGAUGGGAUUGAAGGAGGCCCCGCGAAGAGGAAAUGGGAGACUUCAACCCACUUUCUCCUCCUGCCACAGAUGAGACCUCACCACCAAACCCAAGAUGAUAAUCAACAAGAUUACACUUCGGCUAACACUGCUGAACUAUGAAUGCCUCUUGCCUCCUGACCCAAAUUUUCCUCUAGAUGAGUCUCAGGUCACUGUAAGUACCCCUGAAAGCAGGGCUGUUUCUAGUAUAGAAAUGCUGAACAAA
rnacentral:lncRNA from 1 species